UAGAGGUUCGAUCAUGGCUCAGAUUGAACGCUGGCGGGAUGCUUUACACAUGCAAGUCGAACGGCAGCAUCGGUUUCGGUCUGGUGGCGAGUGGCGAACGGGUGAGUAAUGUAUCGGAACGCCUAGUAGCGGGGGAUAACUACGCGAAAGCGUAGCUAUCGUAUACGCUCUUUUCAAAAAGCGGGGACCUUCGGGCCUCUGCACUAUUAGAGCGGCCGAUAUCGAUUUAGCGAAGUGGUGGGGUAACGGCUCACCAAGGCGACGAUCCGUAGCUGGUUUGAGAGGACGUGACCAGCCACACUGGGACUGAGACACGGCCCAGACUCCACGGGAGGCAGCAGUGGGGAAUUUUGGACAAUGGGGGAAACCUGAUCCAGGCCAUCCCGCGUGUGCGAUGAAGGCCUUCGGGUUGUAAAGCACUUUUGGCAGGAAGAAACGGCACGGGAUAAUACCCCGUAACUGAUUUAAAAAUUUCCGCAGAAUAAGCACCGCUAACUACGUGCCAGCAGCCGCGGUAAUAUGUAGUGCAAGCGUUAAUCGGAAUUACUGGGCGUAAAGCGUGGUGCAGGCGGUUCAAAAGAAAGAUGUGAAAUCCCAGAGCUUAACUUCUUUGGAAACCGUAUUUUUAACUACCGAGCUAGAGGUCAGAGGGAGGGGAAUUCCGCGUGUAGUAAAGAAAUGCGUAGAUAUGCGGAGGAACACCGAUGGCGAAGGCAGCCUUCCUGGGAUAACGCCGACGCUCAGCGUACGAAAGCGUGGGGAGCAAAACAGAUUAGAUACCCUGGUAGCCUCACGCCCUAAACGAUGUCAAUCUAGCUGUUGGGGCCUUUCGGCCUCGCAGUAGCGCAGCUAACGGUGAAGUUGACCGCCUGGGGAGUACGGUCGCAAGAUUAAAACCAAAGAAUGAUUGGGACCCGUACAAGUGGUGGAUGAUGUGGAUUAAUUCGAUGCAACGCGAAAAACCUUACCUACCCUUGACAUGUCUGGAAUCCCGAAGAUUUGGGAGGCUCUCGCAAGAGAACCGGAAAUAUGGUGCUGCAUGGCUGUCGUCAGCUCGUGUCGAGAUGCUGGGUUAAGUCCUGCAACGAGCGCAACCCUUUGUCAUUAUUGCUACGAAAGGGCACUCUAAUGAGACUGCUGUGACAAACCGAGGAAGGUGGGGAUGACGUCAAGUCCUCAUGGCCCUUGCGGGUAGGGCUUCACACGUCAUGUUAAUGGCCGGGACAGAGUGGGUCGCCAACCGCGAGGGGGUUUUCAACUCUGGCAGAAACCCGAUCGUAGUCCGGAUCGCACCGGUAAACUCGACUGCGUGAAGUCGGAAUCGCUAGUAAUCGCGGAUCAGCAUGUCGCGGUGAAUACGUUCCCGGGUCUUGUACACACCGCCCGCUUCACCAUGGGAGGGGUUUUACCAGAAGAGUUACUUCCAAUCCGUAAGGAGGGCGAUACCACGGGUAGGAUUCAUGAUCAGCAGCUGUAACAAGGCAG
rnacentral:rRNA from 1 species